CCCUUAGAUGUCCUGGGCCGCACGCGCGUUACACUGAUGCAUUCAACGAGCUUAUAACCUUGGCCGAGAGGCCUGGGCAAUCUUGUUAACGUGCAUCGUGAUAGGGAUAGAUUAUUGAAAUUAUUAAUCUUGAACGAGGAAUUCCUAGUAAACGCAGAUCAUCAAUCUGCAUUGAUUACGUCCCUGCCCUUUGUACACACCGCCCGUCGCACCUACCGAUUGGAUGGUCCGGUGAAGCCUCGGGAUUGUGGUGCUUGCCGCUUUAUUGUGGCGUGACCGCGAGAACUUGUCUAAACCUUAUCAUCUAGAGGAAGGUGAAGUCGUAACA
rnacentral:rRNA from 1 species